GUUAUUGUUUUUGAGUACUUCGGAACUAAUUUGCAAUACGUGUUGAGGUGUUACUGAAUAAUAUCAACAUGGCUUACACAUCCCUGAAUCAAAUUUCAGUUGAGAAAGAAACGUGGAUUGUGAAAGUUAGAAUCAUUCGGAUGUGGGACGCAAUUAACAUAGCAAAUGACCAUGAGCUAAUCAGUCUUGAUAUGAUAAUGGCAGACGAAAAUGGGACACUAAUACAUGCAAGUAUUAGAAAGAAUUUUGCUCAGCGUUUCAGACCUCUCUUCAAUGAAGGAUCUGUCUACGCAAUCAAGAAUUUCAUAGUUGAGGAACAUAGAGCGAAGUUUCGUCCGGUACAUAACGAAGUUAAAAUUAUUUUCAU